rnacentral:rRNA from 1 species
UACGUAGGGUGCAAGCGUUGUCCGGAAUUAUUGGGCGUAAAGAGCUCGUAGGCGGUUGGGCAAGUCACGUGUGAAAUCUCCACGCUCAACGUGGAGGCGCCACGUGAGACUGCCCUGACUCGAGUCCGGUAGGGGAGCGUGGAAUUCCCGGUGUAGCGGUGAAAUGCGCAGAGAUCGGGAGGAACACCCGUAGCGAAGGCGGUUCUCUGGGACGGUACUGACGCUGAGACGCGAAAGCGUGGGGAGCGAACAGG